GGGACUAUAGCUCAGCAGGAUAGAGCGUUGGACUCCUAAUCCGAAGGUCGUGCGUUCGAAUCGCACUAGUCCCACCA
rnacentral:tRNA from 16 species